rnacentral:rRNA from 1 species
GGAGUCUAGCAUGUGCGCGAGUCAUUGGGACGCUCGUAGCUAAACCUAAAGGCGAAAUGAAAGUGAAGGCGCGCCUCGCGCGCGCCGAGGGAGGAUGGGCUGGACGGGCGACCGUCUCGCCCCGCACUCCCGGGGCGUCUCGUUCUCAUCGCGAGAAGAGGCGCACCCAGAGCGUACACGCUGGGACCCGAAAGAUGGUGAACUAUGCCUGGUCAGGACGAAGUCAGGGGAAACCCUGAUGGAGGUCCGUAGCGAUUCUGACGUGCAAAUCGAUCGUCGGAACUGGGUAUAGGGGCGAAAGACUAAUCGAACCAUCUAGUAGCUGGUUCCCUCCGAAGUUUCCCUCAGGAUAGCUGGCGCUCGCUUUCAUGCGAGUCUCAUCCGGUAAAGCGAAUGAUUAGAGGCAUUGGGGUCGAAACGGCCUCAACCUAUUCUCAAACUUUAAAUGGGUGAGAUCUCCGGCUUGCUUAAACUUUUAGAAGUGAAGCCGCGAGAUCGGAUCAGAGUGCCAAGUGGGCCACUUUUGGUAAGCAGAACUGGCGCUGUGGGAUGAACCAAACGCGGAGUUAAAGCGCCUAAAUCGACGCUUAUGGGAUACCAUGAAAGGCGUUGGUAACUUAAGACAGCAGGACGGUGGCCAUGGAA